UACAGAGGUCUCAAGCGUUGUUCGGAUUUAUUGGGCGUAAAGGGCGCGUAGGCGGCGGGGUAAGUCUGGUGUGAAAUCUAGGAGCUCACUCCUAAACUGCACUGGAUACUGCUCUGCUAGAGGACUGGAGAGGAGACUGGAAUUCACGGUGUAGCAGUGAAAUGCGUAGAUAUCGUGAGGAAGACCAGUGGCGAAGGCGGGUCUCUGGACAGUUCC
rnacentral:rRNA from 1 species